AGUGAACGCUGGCGGUAGGCCUAACACAUGCAAGUCGAACGGCAGCACAGUAAGAGCUUGCUCUUACGGGUGGCGAGUGGCGUACGGGUGAGGAAUACAUCGGAAUCUACUUUUUCGUGGGGGUUAACGUAGGGAAACUUACGCUAAUACCGCAUACGACCCACGGGUGAAAGCAGGGGAUCUUCGGACCUUGCGCGAUUGAAUGAGCCGCUGUCGGAUUAGCUAGUUGGCGGGGUAAAGGCCCACCAAGGCGACGAUCCGUAGCUGGUCUGAGAGGAUGAUCAGCCACACUGGAACGGAGACACGGUCCAGACUCCUACGGGAGGCAGCAGUGGGGAAUAUUGGACAAUGGGCGCAAGCCUGAUCCAGCCAUACCGCGUGGGUGAAGAAGGCCUUCGGGUUGGAAAGCCCGUUUGUUGGGAAAGAAAAGCAGCAGGUUAAUACCCCGCUGUUCUGACGGUACCCAAAGAAUAAGCACCGGCUAACUUCGUG
rnacentral:rRNA from 1 species